CCCAGUAACGGCGAGUGAAGCGGCAACAGCUCAAAUUUGAAAUCUGGCCCCCAGGGCCCGAGUUGUAAUUUGCAGAGGAUGCUUUUGGCGCGGUGCCUUCCGAGUUCCCUGGAACGGGACGCCAUAGAGGGUGAGAGCCCCGUCUGGUCGGACGCCUAGCCUGUGUAAAGCUCCUUCGACGAGUCGAGUAGUUUGGGAAUGCUGCUCUAAAUGGGAGGUAUAUGUCUUCUAAAGCUAAAUACCGGCCAGAGACCGAUAGCGCACAAGUAGAGUGAUCGAAAGAUGAAAAGCACUUUGAAAAGAGGGUUAAAUAGUACGUGAAAUUGUUGAAAGGGAAGCGCUUGUGACCAGACUUGGGCCCGGUGGAUCAUCCAGCGUUCUCGCUGGUGCACUCCGCCGGGUUCAGGCCAGCAUCAGUUCGCCGCGGGGGAAAAAGGCUUCGGGAACGUGGCUCCUACGGGAGUGUUAUAGCCCGUUGCAUAAUACCCUGGGGCGGACUGAGGUUCGCGCUCCGCAAGGAUGCUGGCGUAAUGGUCAUCAGCGACCCGUCUUGAAACACGGACCAAGGAGUCGUCUUCGUAUGCGAGUGUUCGGGUGUAAAACCCCUACGCGUAAUGAAAGUGAACGCAGGUGAGAGCUUCGGCGCAUCAUCGACCGAUCCUGAUGUUCUCGGAUGGAUUUGAGUAAGAGCAUACGGGGCCGGACCCGAAAGAAGGUGAACUAUGCCUGUAUAGGGUGAAGCCAGAGGAAACUCUGGUGGAGGCUCGCAGCGGUUCUGACGUGCAAAUCGAUCGUCAAAUAUGGGCAUGGGGGCGAAAGACUAAUCGAACCUUCUAGUAGCUGGUUCCG
rnacentral:rRNA from 1 species